UAUCCGGAAUUAUUGGGCGUAAAGGGCUCGUAGGCGGUUCGUCGCGUCCGGUGUGAAAGUCCAUCGCUUAACGGUGGAUCCGCGCCGGGUACGGGCGGGCUUGAGUGCGGUAGGGGAGACUGGAAUUCCCGGUGUAACGGUGGAAUGUGUAGAUAUCGGGAAGAACACCAAUGGCGAAGGCAGGUCUCUGGGCCGUUACUGACGCUGAGGAGCGAAAGCGUGGGGAGCGAACAGGAUUAGAUACCCUGGUAGUCCACGCCGUAAACGGUGGAUGCUGGAUGUGGGGCCCGUUCCACGGGUUCCGUGUCGGAGCUAACGCGUUAAGCAUCCCGCCUGGGGAGUACGGCCGCAAGGCUAAAACUCAGAGAAAUUGACGGGGGCCCGCACAAGCGGCGGAGCAUGCGGAUUAAUUCGAUGCAACGCGAAGAACCUUACCUGGGCUUGACAUGUUCCCGACGGUCGUAGAGAUACGGCUUCCCUUCGGGGCGGGUUCACAGGUGGUGCAUGGUCGUCGUCAGCUCGUGUCGUGAGAUGUUGGGUUAAGUCCCGCAACGACGCAACCCUCGCCCCCGUGUUGCCAGCGGAUUAUGCCCGGGAAC
rnacentral:rRNA from 1 species